AUUGAACGCUGGCGGCAGGCCUAACACAUGCAAGUCGAACGUAACAGGAAGCAGCUUGCUGCUUUGCUGACGAGUGGCGGACGGGUGAGUAAUGUCUGGGAAACUGCCUGAUGGAGGGGGAUAACUACUGGAAACGGUAGCUAAUACCGCAUAACGUCGCAAGACCAAAGAGGGGGACCUUCGGGCCUCUUGCCAUCGGAUGUGCCCAGAUGGGAUUAGCUAGUAGGUGGGGUAACGGCUCACCUAGGCGACGAUCCCUAGCUGGUCUGAGAGGAUGACCAGCCACACUGGAACUGAGACACGGUCCAGACUCCUACGGGAGGCAGCAGUGGGGAAUAUUGCACAAUGGGCGUAAGCCUGAUGCAGCCAUGCCGCGUGUAUGAAGAAGGCCUUCGGGUUGUAAAGUACUUUCAGCGGGGAGGAAGGGAGUAAAGUUAAUACCUUUGCUCAUUGACGUUACCCGCAGAAGAAGCACCGGCUAACUCCGUG
rnacentral:rRNA from 1 species